rnacentral:rRNA from 1 species
UUCCUACGGGAGGCAGCAGUGGGGGAUAUUGCACAAUGGGGGAAACCCUGAUGCAGCGACGCCGCGUGGGUGAAGAAGCGCCUCGGCGCGUAAAGCCCUGUCAGCAGGGAAGAAAAUGACGGUACCUGAAGAAGAAGCCACGGCUAACUACGUGCCAGCAGCCGCGGUAAUACGUAGGGAGCGAGCGUUGUCCGGAAUUACUGGGUGUAAAGGGAGCGUAGGCGGGGAUGCAAGUUGGGUGUCAAAACUACCGGCUCAACUGGUAGUCGCACUCAAAACUGCAGCUCUCGGGU